rnacentral:rRNA from 1 species
UGAGGAAUAUUGGUCAAUGGGCGGGAGCCUGAACCAGCCAAGCCGCGUGAGGGAGGAAGGCCCUAUGGGUCGUAAACCUCUUUUGUCAGGGAACAAAAGCGAGUAUGUAUACUAGUCUGAGUGUACCUGAAGAAAAAGCAUCGGCUAACUCCGUGCCAGCAGCCGCGGUAAUACGGAGGAUGCGAGCGUUAUCCGGAUUUAUUGGGUUUAAAGGGUGCGUAGGCGGCGGUGCAAGUCAGCGGUAAAAGCCCGGGGCUCAACCCCGGCGAGCCGUUGAAACUGCAGUGCUAGAGAAGGCGAGAGGUACGCGGAAUGCGCAGUGUAGCGGUGAAGUGCUUAGAUAUUGCGCAGAGCUCCGAUUGCGAAGGCAGCGUACUGGCGCCUGACUGACGCUGAGGCACGAAAGCGUGGGGAUCGAACAGGAUUAGAUACC